CCUACGGGUGGCUGCAGUGGGGGAUAUUGCACAAUGGGGGAAACCCUGAUGCAGCGACGCCGCGUGGGUGAAGAAGCGCCUCGGCGCGUAAAGCCCUGUCAGCAGGGAAGAAAAUGACGGUACCUGAAGAAGAAGCCCCGGCUAACUACGUGCCAGCAGCCGCGGUAAUACGUAGGGGGCAAGCGUUAUCCGGAUUUACUGGGUGUAAAGGGGGCGCAGACGGCGAUGCAAGCCAGGAGUGAAAGCCCGGGGCCCAACCCCGGGACUGCUCUUGGAACUGCGUGGCUAGAGUGCCGGAGGGGCAGGCGGAAUUCCUGGUGGAGCGGGGAAAUGCGGAGAUAUUAGGAGGAACACCGGUGGGGAAGGCGGCCUGGUGGAAGGUAACUGACGUUGAGGCCCGAAAACGUGGGGAGCAAACAGGAUUAGAGACCCUGGUAGUC
rnacentral:rRNA from 1 species